AUCGUACUGAGCUUCACAAAGGGGAAAAUGAUCCACGUGAUAAAAAUAUGAGACAUCACAGACUGACUCAUGGCUUAUAGUCAAAUCCCAUGGAAUUAUUCCUGCAAAACAGAACGUGGAGCACCUGAGCUGGAUUCUGUGUUCCCAACAGCUCCUGGUGGAUUUUCCUUGGCUCCAGCAGAUCCAUUCCCUUUCUCCUGGAGUGUGCUCAGUGUCCUUGUGGCUGAUGCUGCAGCUGGCAGCUCCUGGAGAGCAGCAGUGCCAGGGCAGGGAGCUGCUGCACUUCUCAAACAGACCCAGAUGUUCUUGGACACCCAAACUCAGACUCCCAAGCCAGUGAAGAAGAGAAAGACGCUCAGCACCACGGAACCCUGCUCUGAACCCGAGGCACCAACAUCCCAGCCCAGGCUCCCCGCAGCAAGAUGCCCCACUCUGAACCUUGGCCAGGCAAAGAAGAUUUCUGGGAACGGGACCUCAGGCUUCCUAAUCCUCUGCUAUCUCACGAUCUACAAAUUGUGAGGAGGACAACACUCAGAGUAAAAGAUGCAGAUGCUGAAGAGGGAUCAUUCUGUUCUAUCCCCUGCAUGUCCCCUUCCUCCUGGCAUAAAGAAUAGAGCACUAAACUUGAUCAUUUUAGAUAUACAAGUCAUCAUCCCAAGCUACAUUUG
rnacentral:lncRNA from 1 species